AAUAAUAUGGCAGGCAAGAAAAAAGAAAUUCAGCUGCAGGCAACAAUACUCAAUCAAACUCAGUGGGAUGAAAUGUUGUUAGUAAAAGGCCUAACAGUAGUGGAUGUUUAUCAGGCUUGGUGUGGGCCUUGCAAAGCAGUGGUGACCCUGUUCAGAAAGUUAAAAAAUGAAUACGGUGAAGAUGACCUUCUACAUUUUGC